rnacentral:hammerhead_ribozyme from 1 species
AUCCGUAUGACGAGUCCCGAAUAGGACGAAAUGCCCAUCUUAGAU